GAUGAACGCUGGCGGCGUGCUUAACACAUGCAAGUCGAACGAAGCAUUUGCGACAGAUUUUUUUGGAAUGAAGUUGCUUAUGACUGAGUGGCGGACGGGUGAGUAACGCGUGGGUAACCUGCCUUGUACUGGGGGAUAGCAGCUGGAAACGGCUGGUAAUUCCGCAUAAGCGCACAAUGUUGCAUGACAUGGUGUGAAAAACUCCGGUGGUAUAAGAUGGACCCGCGUUUGAUUAGCUAGUUGGUGAGAUAACAGCCCCCCAAGGCGACGAUCAGUAGCCGACCUGAGAGGGUGACCGGCCCCAUUGGGACUGAGACCCGGCCCAGACUCCUUCGGGAGGCAGCAGUGGGGAAUAUUGCACAAUGGAGGAAACUUUGAUGCAGCGACGCCGCGUGAGUGAAGAAGUAAUUCGUUAUGUAAAGCUCUAUCAGCCGGGAAGAUAGUGACGGUUCCAGGCUAAGAAGCUCCGGCUAAAUACGUG
rnacentral:rRNA from 1 species